rnacentral:miRNA from 1 species
AUUAGGUUGGUGCAAAAGUAAGUGUGGUUUUUGACAUUACUUUUAAUGGCAAAAACCACAGGUACUUUUGCACCAACCUA